AUUGAACGCUGGCGGCAUGCUUUACACAUGCAAGUCGAACGGCAGCGCGGGCUUCGGCCUGGCGGCGCGUGGCGAACGGGUGAGUAAUGCAUCGGAACGUGCCCAGUAGUGGGGGAUAGCCCGGCGAAAGCCGGAUUAAUACCGCAUACGACCUGAGGGUGAAAGCGGGGGACCGAAAGGCCUCGCGCUAUUGGAGCGGCCGAUGUCGGAUUAGCUAGUUGGUGGGGUAAAGGCUUACCAAGGCGACGAUCCGUAGCUGGUCUGAGAGGACGACCAGCCACACUGGGACUGAGACACGGCCCAGACUCCUACGGGAGGCAGCAGUGGGGAAUUUUGGACAAUGGGGGCAACCCUGAUCCAGCCAUGCCGCGUGCGGGAAGAAGGCCUUCGGGUUGUAAACCGCUUUUGUUCGGGAAGAAAUCCUCUGGGCUAAUACCCCGGGGGGACGACGGUACCGGAAGAAUAAGCACCGGCUAACUACGUG
rnacentral:rRNA from 1 species